rnacentral:lncRNA from 1 species
AAAUAAAACAAUUCAUUGAAACACCGGCAAACUUGUAAUUCGUCCUAUACACGAACUUCGAAUAGCUUUGUUUAUUGUCAAAUAAGGUGCAUGGUUCAAUUUAGAGUUUAAGUGUCAAAUACACUGUUAAUUAACACCAAUUUCUGGUCAUCAAUAAUUUGUCUCUUUCAAAGUAACUUGACAAUAAAUUUGAGUUACUUCCCCUUUUUGGCACUUUGAACAAUGUACUUCUUUAUUGUAUGGUUUAUUCUUGUAAAAAGAUUAAAUCUUAAACAUAUUAAAUGCAAAUACAUACCAGAAUAAUACAUUAUUUACUUUUUGCUAUCUAAGAACAAUUAGAAAAUAUUUUGAGAAUUAAUUUAUUCAUCUCUACUCCCUUUGCAUGCUUUAUCAUUGUAAUAACAAAAAUCUUUUGGGUUGAUAAGGACCUUGGAAACCCUCAGUAAGUAGAUGCAGCACAUAAUGAUAAAUACUGCGACGUAAGCACUUUAGUCAAUUUAUCUUUACACGAAGGAAUUUACUUAAAAAUGUAAAUAGUAAUAUCAAUUUUAUAAAACUAUUCAAAUAAACAUAUAACUGACCUUUGUGAACAUUUGUGUGGAGUAAAAUUUGUGAGAAAUGUUUUGGAAAACUUUUUAAAGUCAAAUAUUCUUGUGCAAGCGACUAUAGUUGUCAUUACAUUUAUUUUUGUAGUAUUGUGUUGAUGUCUUUGUCAUUAUACUUUUUAGCACUGGUUUGUGAAUAUUUAAGUAUAAUAUGUAUUAUAUCUAUUGUAUGUAAAUGCUGAAUAUUUGGAUAGAGAUUACAAAAAAACACUAAGGUACUUUAGCUUGUUAGUUGAUAUAAUACAAUGAAUGAUUCUAGGAGAGAGGGUACAGUGAAGCAUGGAAUGAAAAAUAAUAUACCCCAGAAAACUUGUUAAGGAAAGUGUUAGAUUUGAAUAAAAAGAAAUGUCCCCUUAAUACUGAAUUUGAAAUGAUGUUUGUCUGCGUUAUGACCUGAUAUUUCUUUUUUUUCAAUGCAGGUCAUGAACUGCAUUGAUAAAAAAGGUUGACAGGUAUGAUGUUAUAUUUAUAGGAGUUCAGGGAUAUUCAGUUCUUAGGUGAUUUUUUCCCUCAACAUUAUUAUUAACAAAUGAAAAUAGAAAUUACAAGGGUAUCCCUUUGAUUAUAGCUUUGAUAAAUGUGUGAUCAAAGCCAAGUAUUUUGUAAAAAACAGUGUCAACGUUUUUGAAAAUUAGUUUCUUACAAUUGAAGAGUGCAUUUAUUACUUCUGUUUGACCUAAUAUAUGUAUAGCUGUUUCUUAAAUCAUGAAAUUGUUCAUUUCAUUAAAUGCACCUUUGUGAAAAAUUGUAUUCCUCGGUACCUUUGAUUAUUAUACGUUUUUUGUCUAUUGUAUAUUUAAGUUAAAAUGUGAAUACUUGAGUAGUUGUACUGUUUAGUCCGUACUAUGUAUUUGUAGGAGUUUUUCAAGGCAUGAUAUUUUUGAUUCUCGGGUCGUUUCAUUGUGCAUGGCAUUUCAAUGUUGGUUCCUGCGACGUUUAAUUUUUGUUUUUAUACUUCAGUAUGAUUUUUCAGCAUUUUAUGAAGAUUCACGAGUCAUUUGGUGGGGUAAUACAUUGCAUACGGUUUGUCGGGAAAAUAUCUGUUAAUCAAUUUAGGGUAAAACCUCUAUUAGACAGGAUGGCAUUUAUUAUCGUUCUAUCUGUUCUUGUUUAAAAUUAUUGACGAACAGCUCAAUUAAUUCUUCAUUCAUUUUUGUUAAAUUGAAAGAUAUUGAUUACCCAGUUAAAUAAAGACCGAUAAUUUCACAUGUGAAAUAAAAGUGAUAUUCCACUCCUCUGAUGUCAUAAAGCAAUAGGCGUCAAAACGUCUGAUCAAAACAAAUUGUGAAUGAUAAGAAAAAGAUAUAAUUCCUUUCAUUGUUUUACUUUAAUUACAUAAAUACACAAAACGGUAUAACUAAAAUAGUCACGUCGUGAUCGAACAACCCGGAUUAAAAAAACACAUGCACUACCCGCAAGGUUGAAUUUAUGUUUUGUUCGGUCACUCGUUGAUUAAUUGAUUUCUAGGAUUAGUUUUCCUAUAAUAAAUAUUUUUUUAAUGUAUAUAUUGACAGAAUGAUGUCAUGAUAAAUACUGAUUUUUUUUUGCCUUUCCUAAUGGUCUAGAAUUUGUUUGAAAUUAACUCGAUAUGUUGUUUCUGUCCAAUGAAAACUGAACUGUAUAAGAUAUAUUUUCGACAUUUUGAAUUAUUUAAAAAAAAAAAUAUUGAAUGGAUUGAAAGUGAAAAUUUUUAUGUGACCUGUCCAUGUAAAGCUUUUAUAAUAGAUUUUUUUUCGAAUUGAGGUUUAAUUCUAUGAGGAUGAUUAUCAGUAUUGCCGUUCAGUAAUUAGUAUCUCUCAUUGAUUAGAAAAUAACGCUUUAAUGAUGGUGGCUGCUCUUUUCAAAUUAACUAGCUUUUAAAAAGAUGGUUAUAGACUGAUAAAAAUCAAAGAGCUGAAGAGCUCUGAAGGGAAAAGACGGCCAUUGUUCCAAUUUUUAGGGGGGUAUCUUUUGAUAGUCUACAUACAAAGAAUGAGCAAAAGAACAGCUAGAACAUAUAGAAAGGCUGACAAUAAUGAAACUAAUUGUUGUUUAUUG